rnacentral:rRNA from 1 species
GACGAACGCUGGCGGCGUGCUUAACACAUGCAAGUCGAACGAUGAAGCUAGAGCUUGCUCUGGUGAAUUAGUGGCGAACGGGUGAGUAACACGCGAGUAACCUGCCCCGAACUCUGGGAUAACUGCUGGAAACGGUAGCUAAUACUGGAUACGACCUACGAAGGCAUCUUCUGUAGGUGGAAAGAAUUUCGGUUCGGGAUGGACUCGCGGCCUAUCAGCUUGUUGGUGAGGUAAUGGCUCACCAAGGCGACGACGGGUAGACGGCCUGAGAGGGUGACCGGCCACACUGGGACUGAGACACGGCCCAGACUCCUACGGGAGGCAGCAGUGGGGAAUAUUGCACAAUGGGCGCAAGCCCGAUGCAGCAACGCCGCGUGAGGGAUGACGGCCUUCGGGUUGUAAACCUCUUUUAGUAGGGAAGAAGCGAAAGUGACGGUACCUGCAGAAAAAGCACCGGCUAACUACGUGUCAGCAGCCGCAGUAA